UGCAUUGUAGCAUAGUGGUAGGGAGUAGGGCUCAUAACUGAAAGCUUGCUGGUUCGAUUCCCUGCUGGGGCAU